rnacentral:misc_RNA from 1 species
GUGAAAUUUCACCUCCUUAGCAACGCACGCGAGCGCGCGCAUGAAUCGGUUAAUGGGCCCUUAAACAACAGAGAAUGAAACGAGAUUACGAAAGUCAACGAUCUUUAUUCUAUAAUCUUGUAUCUUCUUUAGAAAUACUUAAGCUUUAGUUGUAGAUCGUGAUGAAAGAUAAGGCCUUGUUUAUGCAACUGUUUCUCAAGUAUAAUUGGACAGUCUCUUGUUACAGUAGUCGGCGUACUAAACGUGGUACCUUUGUGCAUAGAAGUAUUUUUGUUCCGUGUGGAUACUAAAUUCGUCAUGCCUGCCGUGCCAAACCUUUUCUAGCUCUUAGAACCCGAGUUUUCAGGUCUCAGCGCUAAUGAUGGAAAUGACAAAGGGGUUUUCAGAGGGAAGCACAGAGUUAAAUUGCUUUCGAUAACUUGUUUCUAAGAUUAAUAUUCCUCUUAUCUCAGCCUUCGGUUUUGCAUUUGUUGUAACUAUAGUCACUAUCACUUUCGUACAGAGUGGUUUUUAAUAGGCCAAUUUCGAUAUAUCAAAAUUCUAACUUGGCUACGAGGCAUCGGGGAACAAAAAACGGAAAUAAGUUAUUCAUCCCUCAACUUCAAUGCCAUUCCUUUAUUUAAUUCAAUUCCCACAAGCCUCGGAGCCAAUUUAGAAUUUUGAUAUAUCGAAAAUGGCCUCAGAUUGACCUCACGGCAGUUGGAUAUCCCAAAAGUGAAAUUUCUUUCCUUUGAGAAAUAAGUUCUUUUCUUAUCCAAAAAUUUCUUUUUGUUGUGAACACCAUAAUGGCCGACGUGAAAACGGUCCAUUGUUUAAUCGGGUUAAUAGGUUAUGCUCUUAGUUUCUUCUCAUUCCAACUGAGGAGCGUGUAGCCUACAGAUAUGUAAAAUUAUUUCCUAGAAGUCAUCAACAUCAUAUAUUUCAGACCAGCAGUCACCACAAUUUGAAUGAUGUCACGCUGAAGGGAGCAACAGAUUUGACGCUUUACAUGGUAUAAGUCAUACUCCCUCCAUACUAACAAUUUUCAAAUCGGCUUAGGAAUGUUUCGCCAAGCUAGUACCCCUUUAGUUAACGAUUUCGUUUCAAAUUAAAAGGAGAAGAUGAUCGUAAAUAAGCACAGGGAUAAAACGCCUAUACAAAAUGAUGCAGGGAAUUAUACUACCUGCCCGCUGCGUUAAACUGACUGAUAUCUUUCUUGUUUAAUCAAUGACUGAAAACCGUCUUGGGCGAGAAACUCCAAUCAUGAAACGAAUAACUUGUCUGAUAUACGGCCAAAUAUGGAUUUAGUGAAGGACGAGCAACAGAUCUUAAAUUAAUCAAUCCAUUCUCUUUUCCCGUCAGUAACAACAGGAAACUCCGACGGAUGACUCGUUUUCGAUGGAAAAUCCGCUAUGAAUUCACACAGGCUAGAACUUGAAAUACGACGAGUGUUUGUGAGAAAGAAUGAUGAAGUAUUUAUGUCAGUUAAGAUGGAAUUCACAGUGAGACGAGAUCCUGACUUCUAAAAAUUCGGUUAACGCACCUUGAAUAAAUCAAUUGGAUGGCUCCAGGAAUUGCAUCAUUAAUGGUUACAUAAUUUUGUGGAACAACUCACAAACCUUUUGGGAAAAACAAACUUCAUUGAAGCAUCUCUAUUUUACUGAGUUUUUUACCUUUUGCAAUGAGUUAAGUCCUGGAGAGGAACUCAACUGAAAUAUGCAGCAGCUUCCAUAGUUAAUUAUGCACCUCUUACAAACUCCAAGUGUUGGUUCCCCCCCAGCGCAUAGAUGUUUUUUUUAUUAUUAUUAUUUCUCUCGGUAAUAUAAAGAAUUUAACUUGAAUUCAUGUAACUUAAGUCCGUCCAAGUCAUAAAAUGUGGUCGAAGAUCGCAGCACUCAGCUUUGAGUGCCCGUAGAGAGCUGAACAGACCAGAUCGUCACACUACGUAAAUAUAAGUAUAACAGAUCCUCGACAAUUUUCAAUAUUUACUCGUUCCGCACGAAAUAGCUUAGUAUACAAAAGUACAGGAAGUCGGUGAUUCUCUACAACUAAGGAACGAUAAUAUUGGUCCAUGCUUGACAAACACCUGCGUUAACUUAUUCGCAACAAUUUCAGAAACAUUGUAACGCUUUUUAAUAAGAGUCACAUAUAAUCCAGUAUGAAUUGCGAGCUGUCUCUUACAACCCUACCCCGAGAGCUUGCUCGCAGGCUUCUCUGGUAACUCCACGCUGAAGGAGCCCCCAGCGGUUAUUCCAAUAUUAACCUGGAGGGCAGAUUUUGGAUUACAAAAGACGUGUGAAUACCAGGGACAAUAUUAUUAUAUUCUGCACAAAAACCUUGAGUAUCCUUUAGCACUUUUUUCACUAAAAAUGACACGACAUUUCUUUGGACUAGUUGUUCAGUUCAGGGUCAUAUGCGCGUAUUUUAGACACAGGCGAACCAUUGUUUGACGUGUCUUUCAUUAAUUAUGCCUUUUCUCUGCCUCGUUGUUCACUCUUAUUAAAAGUGCUCGUUAUACCCCGCGGUUGUAGAUCGGCCCUGCCAAGCUGUAGAACAGCAGUAAGCUGCCUGUCCAUUGCAAACUUCCCAUCGCUAUAGUUUGAACUAUCUUGACUUUCUCAGAGCAAGUUACAAUCGUGCACGACAUGUAUACUGCGGAUAGUAGUGGUACUCCGCAACAGGACUUGUUCUUCUUGCACGCUGAAUUGAAAUAUCCACAGAAACUCCCGGAGAUAGUGAAAUUUCUCGUCGGGCAUAGCAGUUGCUAUGGUCCUUGUAUACAAGCCUAACUUACUAGAGCAGUAUUCAACCUUUAAUCACUAAGGCAAUCAACGUUUGCCAGGAAAAAAUGUCUUUGGACAGCCACUCAUCUCAAAGCUCGAUAGUUAGAAGCAUCGCGUCAUAUAUAAAAAGGAUACAAGUGCUGUCUAUUUUUGUAUUAAUGCAUAGGUCUGUGUUGCUUCUGCAACAUCGCCCAAGCGCUUUGAGGGUACUGUAGUUCAGUGUUCUCUCUACCGACUGUUUUACCUGCUGACACGAUUUUAGAGCUGAAUUUGCCUUAAUUUUACAAGAACAAGUGAUGGCAGCUCUGUGGUAUUUCUUUAUCAGUAUUCUACAAGUUCUUGCACAACUGUGGCCACAACACAGCAAGGCUUGGCUUAUGGACGGCUUUGUUUGGAUUCUACAUCUCGCGAUUGUCGGUGGCGUGGAUUUAAUGAGCUGGCACAACAAUAUUGUUCUUUACAAGGUUUUUACAAGUGCGGAAGUCUGACGACAGUGGUAAAGCGUCUUCCUUUUCUCUUACAAUACUUUAUCGUCUUCUUCUGGUACGCUGAAAACUACCACAAUUAGCCACAUGGCAAACUAACGCCCCAUUUACACAAGUCCCUUUAAAUCACUUCUGUAGACUAGAAACUGUCUCUCUUCGUAUUUCUUCACACUGUACAUCAUUUGCUGAACACAAUCAGGUAACACUGAACAAUAACGAUAAUGAAGAGAUGAAUACUGACGGGUUACAUUGUCAUUAUAUUUCCAAGCAGGGACAGAUGGCACUGGACAACUAAGAGAUAUUCCGUGACCACAGACGCAUCGCUAAACUCUUGAACUGACAAGAAAAGCAGUAAAAUCGACGAACAUAAUUCAGUUAAGAAAACUUAUACUUCGAACACCAGAAUCAAACUGGAGAAUUAAAAUAUUUUAUAAGAGAAUGAACAGACUUGUGUUCUCUUCCCAAAGACUACUCGUGCCGCUACAAGUUUUGAGUGUUAUCAACGCGAGAUUAACUUGAAGAGUUGAUUGUCUCCUCUUCAAUACUAAGGGACUAUUCCGUGCGACUAGUCCCUGCAACU